UACGAAGGGGGGCUAGCGUUGCUCGGAAUCACUGGGCGUAAAGGGGUGCGUAGGCGGGUCUUUUAAGUCAGGGGGUGAAAUCCUGGAGCUCAACUCCAGAACUGCCUUUGAUAUGAAGUCUUGAGUUCGGGAGAGGUGAGUGGAAUGCGAGUGUAGAGGUGAAAUUCGUAGAUAUUCGCAAGAACACCAGUGGCGAAAGGCGGCUCACUGGCCCGGUACUGACGCUGAGGUGCGAAAAGCGUGGGGGAGCAAAACAGG
rnacentral:rRNA from 1 species